UAUUAAUGAUAAUUUUUACAAGAUCUUAUUCAUGCUACUUAAAGUAAAAGCCUAAAUGUUUCCCAAGAUCUGGCUUUUGUUCACUUAAGAAAGGCUUCUGUAAAGCAAUAUUUUGUAAAGCAAGUUGCUCGAGGUAUUUUGGCACGAGCCCUUCCAGUUGUGCACAGGAGGGUAACACAGGCAAACACAGUAGUGAGAUAAACAAGAAGAGUGUUUUGGAAACAUGUGGUUCUAAAUUAGUGCCAUCAUGCUGAUUCAGAGCCGAAUUGUGCAGUUCUUGCCCAACCCAGAACAACAGAGGAGUAAUUAUCUCUGAUAAAGCAGGGUCAGAGGAAUGAAUUUCUGAACUGAAAAAAUGCAGCUAAAGAGAAGACUUUGGGGUGACACUGCUGGACCCAGACAAAGGCUCAGAGAGGAGGAAGCCUGUUGGUCACAAACAAAACGAGCCCCAGCGUUCCUAUCAGGGAGACCUUGGAGGGAUGCCAGCUACUGUAAACGCCACCUCUCAGGGUCUGAGGCAGAAGUGCUCUCAUCCAUCUCAAGCUCAAGCACAUGGAGACAAGAACAUGACAAGAGAGUAGUAGAUGUCAAAUUUUCCAACAAUUUCUGUUGACGUUCAACCCCUUUCUUCUUCUUCAUGUGAUUGUGCUGUUCACCACCCAAACCCACCUGGAGACCUCACAGCACCUUCCAGUGCCUGAAGGGAUUACAAGGAAGAUGGAGAUGGACUGCUCAUCAGGAACUGGAGUGUCAGGACAAGGGGGAAUUGCUCCAAACCAACACAGAGAAGGUUUAAAUUAGAUGUGAGGAAGAAAUUCUUCUCUGCAAGGGUGGGCACGCCCUGGCACAGGGUGCCCAGAGCAGCUGUGGCUGCCCCUGGAUCCCUGGAAGUGCCCAAGGCCAGGCUGGAUGGGGCUUGGAGCAGCCUGAGAUAGUGGAAGGUGUCCCUUCUGGAAUUAGAUGGACUUUAAAGUCCCUUCCAACUCAAACCAUUCCAUGAUUCUAUUUUUCUAUGAGCCCAUGGCAGCCCCAGAGAAUGCCACCCAUGAGACAGCUGUCCCAGGGUGGAACCAUGUCCCAGACAUGCUUGGCUUUGAAGGUCACUGAGAAAGGAAGGUCCUUUUUGUGCUGGUGAUGAACAGGCAGCUUGUCCUUGCUCAGCACAGGCUGUGCCUCCCGCUGCCCCAGCAAAGGUGGCCCAGAGUGCCCAGAGCUGAUCAAGACACUCUGUGCAGUCCAAACAAAGGUAGCUCUGGGGGCAGAGGUCACAAAAAGCUGGUUUUUCCUUCGGGGUGAGUCUGUGUAAAAGAAGAGCCCGGCUUGUUUCAGGCCAAGAGGGAAUUUGUAUAAAGAUCCUUUCUCCAUGCCCACUGGGAUGCUAAAAGCUUAUAGCAACUUUCCUAAACAAAGAGCUGCAAUGAGAAUGGAGUGUUCCGGGCGGCAGAGCACCCACUGCUAGGAAGUGAAUCAACUCUGAUCAAAGGGAAAGGGUCAGCCCUGAAGGCUGUAAAAGUCAGCCCCAGUUCCUCUCCAGCAGCCAGGACAGGUUGCACCAGGAGUCAGCAGGGAAUUUUCUACUGAAAUUGUUUUUUUCUGAUAGAAAAUUACAUUAU
rnacentral:lncRNA from 1 species